GGUUGUAGCUCAGUGGUAGAGCUCUUGCUUAGCAAGCAUGAGCCCUGAGUUUGAUCCUCAGCACCA
rnacentral:tRNA from 1 species